AUUGAACGCUGGCGGCAGGCCUAACACAUGCAAGUCGAACGAGUGGCGGACGGGUGAGUAAUGUCUGGGAAACUGACUGAUGGAGGGGGAUAAAUACUGGAAACGGUAGCUAAUACCGCAUACCCUCAGAUGUGCCCAGAUUGGAGUAGCUGGUUGGUGGGGUAACGGCUCACCAAGGCGACAAUCCCUAGCUGGUCUGAGAGGAUGACCAGCCACACUGGAACUGAGACACGGUCCAGACUCCUACGUGAGGCAGCAGUGGGGAAUAUUGGACAAUGGGCGCAAGCCUGAUGCAGCCAGGCCGCGUGUAUGAAGAAGGCCUUCGGGUUGUAAAGUACUUUCAGCUGGGAGGCGUUACCCGCAGAAGAAGCACCGGCUAACUCCGUGCCAGCAGCCGCGGUAAUUC
rnacentral:rRNA from 1 species